rnacentral:rRNA from 1 species
UGAUCCUGGCUCAGGAUGAACGCUAGCUACAGGCUUAACACAUGCAAGUCGAGGGGCAGCAUGACGGAAGCUUGCUUUCGUUGAUGGCGACCGGCGCACGGGUGAGUAACGCGUAUCCAACCUGCCCUUGUCCAUCGGAUAACCCGUCGAAAGGCGGACUAACACGAUAUGCAGUUCUCAGCAGGCAUCUAACGAGAACGAAAUGUGAAGGAGAAGGAUGGGGAUGCGU